CUUAUGUUGCACUUAGACCUCUCUAUUGAAGAAAGAAAUGCCGAUAGAGUAAGAUUUAGUAUCGUCGGAGUCAUAUAGUUUUUCCUUAUUAUAUUUUAAAUAUUUGGUGCAUAUAUUAAAUUUUACUAAAUAAAAUAAACAAAUCAUGAUGGAAGGGAUAGGAGAUGUAUAGAGAUGUCCAUGGACCAGAUUGUCUAGUUAGGCCUACAAAGCCAUUGUGCUCUAAAUUGGGCUUGGACCAUCUUGCUAGUAUAAUACAUCACUUUAAAGUAA
rnacentral:lncRNA from 1 species